AAAACAGGAUGGCAUCAAAUGAUAGUAAAAAGGGAAUGCAAGUAUUAGCAUUUGAACAUGGCAUGAAGGUUUACAUCAAAUAUUAUAAUAAUCAUCAUGAAUUAUUUAUAGUAAAUUUUUUUUUAAAAAAAAGGAAAGAAACAGAUAUGAAGAUGCUACAAGGAGUUUGCUUCAGAUGAUGGGAACAAGUGAGUUGGCAAGUCCUUUAAAAAAAGGGGCAGCAAAAUAAGAUUAAAAGACAAAGUCAUCUCCAAGUGGUCCUUUCUUUAUUACGUUUUUAAAGGUUCUUGAGCAGAGAAAUCCCAUUAUUGUUCAUCUCCUGCUUCUAUCAAAUUUUUUUUCAGGCAUAGCAGAGUCGCUGGUAAUCAUCACCAGGACCAGGGUAAGAAGGACCCAUGGCGAGUGAGGCACCAAGCUGGGCUGAUCAAUGGGGUGCUGGAGGAAUUGGUGCAAUGGAAGACGAGGAGGCUACAGCCAAGAAUGAGCACGACAAGAAGAAACCCCAAAGAAAAGGUGGACUGAAUAAAGCCAAAACAGCCGCUUUGAUGGGAGCCAAGAAAUUCAAGAAUGGGAUAUCCAAGGGCUUAACAUGGGUCAAGAAUAAAUGCCAGAAAAAGGGUUCCUCCAAAUGAACGUAACAUUAAAAAAAAUUGUAAUUGCCAACGCUUUGAUGUAUUCUUCAUUCAUUUUUGAGUGACCUAUAUUCUCCAAUUUAUGGCAACUUAACAGCAUAACAAAGUUUCUUGAGCA